rnacentral:rRNA from 1 species
AGUGAACGCUGGCGGUAGGCCUAACACAUGCAAGUCGAACGGCAGCACAGGAGAGCUUGCUCUCUGGGUGGCGAGUGGCGGACGGGUGAGGAAUACAUCGGAAUCUACUCUGUCGUGGGGGAUAACGUAGGGAAACUUACGCUAAUACCGCAUACGACCUACGGGUGAAAGCAGGGGACCUUCGGGCCUUGCGCGAUUGAAUGAGCCGAUGUCGGAUUAGCUAGUUGGCGGGGUAAAGGCCCACCAAGGCGACGAUCCGUAGCUGGUCUGAGAGGAUGAUAAGCCACGCUGGAACUGAGACACGGUCCAGACUCCUACGGGAGGCAGCAGUGGGGAAUAUUGGACAAUGGGCGCAAGCCUGAUCCAGCCAUACCGCGUGGGUGAAGAAGGCCUUCGGGUUGUAAAGCCCUUUUGUUGGAAAAGAAAUCCAGCUGGCUAAUACCCGGUUGGGAUGACGGUACCCAAAGAAUAAGCACCGGCUAACUUCGUGCCAGCCGCCGCCGUAA